rnacentral:rRNA from 1 species
UACGUAGGGUGCAAGCGUUGUCCGGAAUUAUUGGGCGUAAAGAGCUCGUAGGCGGUUUGUCGCGUCGGCUGUGAAAACUCGGGGCUCAACCCCGAGCCUGCAGUCGAUACGGGCAAACUAGAGUGUGGUAGGGGAGACUGGAAUUCCUGGUGUAGCGGUGAAAUGCGCAGAUAUCAGGAGGAACACCGGCGGCGAAGGCGAGUCCCUGGGCCAUAACUGACGCUGAGGAGCGAAAGCGUGGGGAGCGAACAGG